UUCAUCGCUCGCGAUGUUUAACUGACAUGAUUGUGGGACGUCCUACCGGUGGGCUUAGCCUUUCGGGGCGGUCCAGCUAAUAUCCCAUCGCGGUGCUCUUCAUCGAGUGUCGAGGUGGGCCGGUACGUUUACUUUGAACAAAUUAGAGUGCUCAAAGCAGGCUAUGUUUGCCUGGAUACUGUGUGCAUGGAAUAAUGGAAUAGGACCUCGGUUCUAUAAACCUCACCAGGCCCGGACACCGGAAGGAUUGACAGAUUGAUAGCUCUUUCUUGAUUCGGUGGGUGGUGGUGCAUGGCCGUUCUUAGUUGGUGGAGCGAUUUGUCUGGUUAAUUCCGAUAACGAACGAGACUCUAGCCUGCUAAAUAGGCGUACCUUUUGGUAUCUCGAAGGCCCCCGGCUUCGGUCGGGUGGUUUUUACUACCGACGUACUAACAAAUCUUCUUAGAGGGACAGGCGGCGUCUAGCCGCACGAGAUUGAGCAAUAACAGGUCUGUGAUGCCCUUAGAUGUUUUGGGCCGCACGCGCGCUACACUGAAGGAAUCAGGGUGUCCUCCCUGACCGAAAGGCCCGGGUAACCCGCUGAACCUCCUUCGUGCUAGGGAUUGGGGCUUGCAAUUAUUCCCCAUGAACGAGGAAUUCCCAGUAAGCGCGAGUCAUAAGCUCGCGUUGAUUACGUCCCUGCCCUUUGUACACACCGCCCGUCGCUACUACCGAUUGAAUGAUUUAGUGAGGUCUUCGGACUGGUGCGCGGCAAUGUAAUUUUACGUUGCCGAUUGGCCCGGGAAAAUGACCAACCUUGAUUAUUUAUAGGAAGUAAAAAUCGUAACAAGGUUUCCGUAGGUGA
rnacentral:rRNA from 1 species